rnacentral:rRNA from 1 species
CGCAGUAGGGAAUCUUCCGCAAUGGACGAAAGUCUGAGGGAGCAACGCCGCGUGAGCGAUGAAAGGCCUUCGGGUCGUAAAGCUCUGUUGUUAGGGAAGAACAAGUACCGGAGUAACUGCCGGUACCUUGACGGUACCUAACCAGAAAGCCACGGCUAACUACGUGCCAGCAGCCGCGGUAAUACGUAGGUGGCAAGCGUUGUCCGGAAUUAUUGGGCGUAAAGCGCGCGCAGGCGGUCCUUUAAGUCUGAUGUGAAAGCCCCCGGCUCAACCGGGGAGGGUCAUUGGAAACUGGGGGACUUGAGUGCAGAAGAGGAAAGUGGAAUUCCACGUGUAGCGGUGAAAUGCGUAGAGAUGUGGAGGAACACCAGUGGCGAAGGCGGCUUUCUGGUCUGUAACUGACGCUGAGGCGCGAAAGCGUGGGGAGCAAACAGGAUUAGAUACCCUGGUAGUCCACGCCGUAAACGAUGAGUGCUAAGUGUUGGGGGGUUUCCGCCCUUUAGUGCUGCAGCUAACGCAUUAAGCACUCCGCCUGGGGAGUACGGCCGCAAGGCUGAAACUCAAAAGAAUUUGACGGA